rnacentral:rRNA from 1 species
CCUACGGGUGUCAGCAGUGAGGAAUAUUGGUCAAUGGCCGUAAGGCUGAACCAGCCAAGUAGCGUGAGUGAAGACUGCCCUAUGGGUUGUAAACCUCUUUUAUGCGGGGUUAAAGGUGUCCACGUGUGGAGUUUUGCAGGUACCGCAUGCAUCAGGACCGGCUAAUUCCGUGCCAGCAGCCGCGGUAAUACGGAAGGUCCGGGCGUUAUCCGGAUUUAUUGGGUUUAACGGGAGCGUAGGCCGGUCUUUAAGCCUGUCGGGAAAUUUUGGGGCUCAACCAGGAGAGUGCGGUGCGUACUGGAGACCUUGAGUGCGCGGAAGGCAGGCGGAAUUCGUGGUGUAGCGGUGAAAUGCUUAGAUAUCACGAAGAACCCCGAUUGCGAAGGCAGCCUGCCGCAGCGUUACUGACGCUGAAGCUCGAAAGCGCGGGGAUCGAACAGGAUUAGAUACCCCUGUAGUC